rnacentral:rRNA from 1 species
UACAGAGGUCUCGAGCGUUGUUCGGAUUCAUUGGGCGUAAAGGGUGCGUAGGUGGCGCUGUAAGUCGGGUGUGAAAUCCUGGGGCUUAACCUCGGAACUGCAUUCGAUACUGCGGUGCUUGAGGACUGGAGAGGAGACUGGAAUUUACGGUGUAGCGGUGAAAUGCGUAGAUAUCGUAAGGAAGACCAGUGGCGAAGGCGGGUCUCUGGACAGUUCCUGACGCUGAGGCACGAAGGCCAGGGGAGCAAACGGG